CCCUUAGAUGUUCUGGGCCGCACGCGCGCUACACUGACUAGAGCAUCGAGUCUAUAACCUGCGUAGGGAUACGUGGGUAAUCUUUUGAAAUCUAGUCGUGCUGGGGAUAGAUUCUUGCAAUUAUUAAUCUUCAACGAGGAAUUCCUAGUAAGCGUAAGUCAUCAGCUUGCGUUGAUUGCGUCCCUGCCCUUUGUACACACCGCCCGUCGCUCCUACCGAUUGAAUGGUCCGGUGAAAUCUUCGGAUUGCGGCUCACAGCUGGAAACGGCAGUGCGGCUGCGAAAAGUUGCUUAAACCUUAUCAUUUAGAGGAAGGAGAAGUCGUAACA
rnacentral:rRNA from 1 species